rnacentral:rRNA from 1 species
UACGGAGGGAGCUAGCGUUGUUCGGAAUUACUGGGCGUAAAGCGCACGUAGGCGGCUUUGUAAGUUAGAGGUGAAAGCCUGGAGCUCAACUCCAGAAUUGCCUUUAAGACUGCAUCGCUUGGAUCCGGGAGAGGUGAGUUGAAUUCCGAGUGUAGAGGUGAAAGUCGUAGAUAUUCGGAAGAACCCCAGUGGCGAAGGCGGAUCACUGGACCGGUAUUGACGCUGAGGUGCGAAAGCGUGGGGAGCAAACAGG